CAAGAGACUUCUAUGCGGUACGGAGGGAUGAUUUGGGUGACAUCUGAGACGCAGCCGCACUUCAACAAGCGUCCGGGCUCCAGGAACAUGGCGGCGGCCUCUGUGGUGUCGAUGCUGCUGGUGACGACUGAGAGGAACCAGUGGCAGUCAGUCCAGAGCCCGCUGCUGCUGCUGCGGCUGCCGCUGCUGCUGCGGCUGCCGCUGCCGAGGCAACGAUCCAAAAGGUAGUUCUGGCACUUGGAUACUACUACGUUGGAGCAACUUGUCAUGCCUGCAUUGUGUGGAACCAGUGUUCAAAAUAAAAUGCAAAAACUUCAGGCUGGUGGAGGAGGGAGCACACGAUGUCCUGGUACUCCAGGGAGACCAUUUGAUAUGUUAAAUAGAAUAUAUCAUUGAUCCCAAUCAGGAUACCACGUGACAUUUAAUUGUCAUGUCUCCUUAAGCUCUUCUUGGCUGUAACAGUUAUUCAAAUAUUCCCUUUUUUUUGAU